CAGGUAAAUCCGGAAAUAAUUAAUGCAGGAAUUUGCACUAUUUCUGGUUGGGCGAUAAUUUGUCUAUACUUGCACAUGACAUGGUAGUAACUUUGUAGAGACUGUGCAUUCACAAAAUGGCUGCCGCAUCAUCAGCACAUGCAAAGCACGAUCAGAGAGUAGCUAUACUCGAGUAUCUUCGCGCUGGAAAGUCGCUGCGGGAAAUAAUCGAGUGGUUCAGAUACAAGAAGAUGCAGGUUUAUGACCUAACAAAGAGAUUCAGGGAGUCUGAGAUGGAGGAAAUCAUUCCUGACCGGGUCAAACAUCAAAAGUGGUGUCUGACUGUAAGAGGAGUGAUGAAUUUGUUGCUGAUUUGAAGAAGAUUGACCAGGAUCCAGGACGGAGCAUAGCUGACCUGGUGAAGGAAAUGGGUGUUUCGAGGUCAACUGUUAGUUGGACUGUGAAGAAUUUGGGGUACAAGUCCUCUGUUCUCAGGAACUGGCAACUGUUGACUGAGAAGAAUAAGUUUGAAACUGAAGGCCGCUGCCCUGUUGAAUGACCUGAAGCAUGACAGUACCUGAUUCCUUUGUUUCUUCUUGGAUGAAAAGAACUUUAUCUAGGAUAGAAAGGUCAACCCCAAAAUGACCGAUGGUUGUGUCAGAAUGCCAGUGACGUGCCUACGGUCAUGCACACCAAGUUUCCUGCUUCCAUUAUGGUCCUGGGAGUUGUGAGCAGUGAGGGUGACGUCAUGCCGCCACACAUCUUCGAGGAGGGUCUGAGAGUGACC
rnacentral:lncRNA from 1 species